AGACUAGAAUGAAUGGAUUAAUGAAGCAUUACUUUCUUAAUUUAAAAAUUAAAAAUAAUUUUUUUAGUGAAGAGACUAAAAUGAAAAUGAGGGACGAGAAGACCCUAUUAAGCUUAAUAAAAUUAUUUUGUUGGGGAAACAAAAGAAUAAAAUUUCUUUAAAAAAAUUUUUUGAUAAAAUUUGAUUUUUUUUUAAAAAGUAAUAGAUCAAGUUACUAUAGGGAUAACAGCAUAAUUUUUUUAAAAAGUUCUUAUUAACAAAAAAGAUUAUGACCUCGAUGUUGGAUUAAAAUAAUUAUAUAAUGAAGUUGUUGUAUAAAUUAGUCUGUUCGACUAUUAAAUUUUUAC
rnacentral:rRNA from 1 species